rnacentral:rRNA from 1 species
GUGGGGAAUAUUGGACAAUGGGCGAAAGCCUGAUCCAGCAAUGCCGCGUGAGUGAUGAAGGCCUUAGGGUUGUAAAGCUCUUUUACCCGGGAUGAUAAUGACAGUACCGGGAGAAUAAGCUCCGGCUAACUCCGUGCCAGCAGCCGCGGUAAUACGGAGGGAGCUAGCGUUAUUCGGAAUUACUGGGCGUAAAGCGCACGUAGGCGGCUUUGUAAGUAAGAGGUGAAAGCCCAGAGCUCAACUCUGGAAUUGCCUUUUAGACUGCAUCGCUUGAAUCAUGGAGAGGUCAGUGGAAUUCCGAGUGUAGAGGUGAAAUUCGUAGAUAUUCGGAAGAACACCAGUGGCGAAGGCGGCUGACUGGACAUGUAUUGACGCUGAGGUGCGAAAGCGUGGGGAGCAAA